rnacentral:rRNA from 1 species
CUCAGGGAGGUAGUGACAAGAAAUAACAACACUGGAAAUUUUAUUUCUAGUGAUUGGAAUGAUGGGAAUUUAAACCCCUUUCAGAGCAACAAUUGGAGGGCAAGUCUGGUGCCAGCAGCCGCGGUAAUUCCAGCUCCAAUAGCGUAUAUUAAAGUUGUUGCAGUUAAAAAGCUCGUAGUUGGAUGUCUGCUGGAAGCAAUCAGUCCGCCCUAUUUGUAGGGUGUGCACUUGAUGAAUUCUGGCAUCUAUGUCCCAAUGAUAUACGCGAUGGUGUUAUUAAUAUAUAGGUUAAUCCUGUAUAUUAUAUACCCAUUUGUGUAAUAUUGGGAUAAUACCGUUACUUUGAGAAAAUUAGAGUGUUUGAAGCAGGCUAAUUGCCUUGAAUACUGCAGCAUGGAAUAACAAUAUAGGAUUUCGGUUCUAUUUUGUUGGUUUCUAGGACUGAAAUAAUGAUUAAUAGGGACAGUUGGGGGCAUUCGUAUUUAACUGUCAGAGGUGAAAUUCUUAGAUUUGUUAAAGACGAACUACUGCGAAAGCAUUUGCCAAAGAUGUUUUCAUUAAUCAAGAACGAAGGUUAGGGGCUCGAAGACGAUCAGAUACCGUCGUAGUCUUAACCAUAAACUAUGCCGACUAGAGAUAGGAAACUGUCAUUUUUCUGACUU